rnacentral:rRNA from 1 species
UACAGAGGGUGCGAGCGUUAUUCGGAAUUACUGGGCGUAAAGGGUGCGUAGGUGGCUUAUUAAGUCAGAUGUGAAAUCCCCGGGCUUAACCUGGGAAUUGCAUAUGAUACUGGUAAGCUAGAGUGUGGAAGAGGGAAGUGGAAUUUCCGGUGUAGCGGUGAAAUGCGUAGAUAUCGGAAGGAACAUCAGUGGCGAAGGCGACUUCCUGGACCACAACUGACGCUGAGGCGCGAAAGCUAGGGGAGCAAACAGG